rnacentral:lncRNA from 1 species
GCGCGCGACCGCACGUACCAGUAACCGCGUCGUCAGGUAGACGGGCACAACGGACUCGACGCGUGUGGGUAUGUUACUCGCGGUGCACCUAUGCCGCCACAAUGUCGUUUUCCUCUAGUAGUCGUCGUCGUCGUCGCGGCGGCCGUCGUACGCAAUAACGCAAUAUUGUCGUUAUUGUUAUUAUUAUUGUUAUCACCAUCAUCAUCAUAGGUGGGUACUAUCUACGUAAUACCGCUACGCUCUCGUCGAACGAUUUUUCACACGCACGCGGUCCCGACGUGGGUUUCGCGUUUCGCGUUUAGAGGCAGGCAGAUAGAAUACGGGCGACCGAGUGCCGGUUUUUCGCGCGCGAUCCGUCCGUCAGUUUGGUGCGCGCGUGCCGCACACGCCCGUCCGCGAACCGGCGCACACCCGCGUGCGAUCCCGUCGCCUACGUAAACGCCGGUGUCCGGGUGAUAAACGAAAUAAUACCGAAGGAAAUCCCGGAUUCCCGCGGUCUUUUCGCCGACGCGAAAAUCUCCUUCUCCUUCUCCUACUCCUCAUUCUCCGACGGACCGCCGGUGUACAGUUGUCGGCCGAGCGACCGACGACCCGACCCGCCGUGCCAAUAGUACGCAAUACGAGUACCGUCGCGCAGUGCCGGCCGACUAGUGCGACACGAUGCUGGACGCUUUGCGGACGUGUUUCGCGUGCGCGCCACGGAAAAAACGGUAAGGCCAACGCUGCGGUUCUGGUUAUUUUUAAUUAGUUUUCGGUUAUUCGCGGGCGGCGAUGAGAAAGUACGUUCGGAACGGUACGGAACGCCGUGAUCGACGAGCUUCAUCCCCGGGAAAUAAUGAAAAUCGGUGUUCCGAUCGGAACCCGACGCACGGUUACCCAAAUAGUCGUUCGGUACAAACAAUAAUGCGGCCGAUAUGAAACGAAAAAUUAAAAACGGCUUUAAACGUUUGAAAACGGAUUGUUUCCCGGUGAUUUUUUCAACAGUAUUGAACGCGUUCGAAAUUUAAACGGGUUUAAAACCAGCCGGGAUGACAAUCCGCUCCGCGUACGUCUCGAUAAGAGACAAUCGUUUUGAUUUUCCACUAAUUAAAUUAAUUUAAAAAAAUUAAAAAGCUACUGCUUUAAAAUUGUCAAUUAUUUUAUCUACGAAAAUCUCUACGUGAGUGAAAUUUGUCAUGUUUAAAACACCUGUUCAAAUCGACAAAUCAAUUUUUUUAAACGUUUUGAUAAGAACAAUGUUUUUAAACACGAGUUUAAUACAAAUCAACUCUGACAGGAUAUCUUAGUCAGCCAUUUUCGGUUAAUCGAUAUGAUUUUAGCAUACUUUUUAGGAAGAGUACAACGUUUUACCUUAUCGUUUCAUGUAUAACGCGCGACUAUUAUUCUGUAUAAUAUUUAUUUAGUUUUCAAUAAAAUUAUCAAUAUAGUGUGUAAACAUUUAUUUUAUUCUGAUAAAUCGUACGGAGAAUAUUUUCCAUUUUAUUGUUUACUAUAUUAAAAUGUAAUAAACGUGUGUACAAUGUAAUAAAUUCGACGGUCGAAUAGUUUUUAAAAAUGAUGCGAUAAAUUUUUUUGUAUGUGACGUCAUGUUAAACAUUUAUUACGAGUGACGCCGAAAAGAUACAACGGCCUAAAACAGAAUCGUUAUCACCAUUCACGGCUGUGAAUUUAACCGUAAAAUCUUAAAAGUCCCCAAACCAAACAAUACGCAAGGCAUUGGAAAUGCCAAAGAAUCAUUAUAAAACCUGUGAAAAUGCAUUUAAAAUCCCAGAGUUACUUAAACUAAAUAACCUAUAAUUGUUUACAGGUUUUGAAAAUUCAUUAGGUAUACAGAUGUGUAGCAAUUAAUAAUUUAGCCUUAUCUUAUCGAAUAACGAUUAAUCAAACGGUGUACUUACACACUAACUCGUACAUACCUACAGCUUGUAUAAAAUAUUUUAUUUAAACGCUGAUGUAAAAUAUUAGUAUGACGUAUAUACCUACAGUCAGUGUAAAUUAUAAUUUUUAUUCGUGUAUAAAUGAAUAAAACUAACGCGAAAUUAACAAACAAUAGGAAUAAUGCCCUCAGAAAGUAAACAAAUGACCUGAACAAUUUAAAAUGCUAAAAAAGGCAAAACAGAAGUAUAAAACGUCUUUAACUUUAGAGAAAAAAUGCAUAUUUCAUCGAUUUCCAUCGAUUUUCCCAUAUUUGUACGCAUAUUUAUGCGUAUUUAAUUUUUGUUCAAAAAAAUUGUGUUUUUUCUUUCUUAACCAAUGUAUUUUAAAUAACAUUGAAUACAAAACUUAAUGUUAUUUAACGUAGUUAUGUAUUGUUAUUUCUUAUCGUCUGGGUCUAUUAUUAUAAAUUUAACGACUUCGUGCAACGGUGCGAUUUAAUCUUUAUCGUUUUUUUUUUGUGCAUAUUUAUUACAUUUUUCAUGCAUAUUUUAAAAUUUUUUUCGUGCAUAUUUUGCUUUUUCUAGCCCCUAUAUCUUCCGAGCCUUAGUGAUAAGUCGUAUGAUAGAUAUUAAAUUAUGACGAUAGAAAAGAUAAGUUAUAUCCAUAUAUGUGCACAAGGCACAGGACACAGGAUAAGUCCUGUAAGACAUCCAUAGACUUGGAUAAUUUUGUCCGUCCCAUAUAAUAUUAUUAUGAUACAUUAACAAAACCGUACACUAAAACGUAUUAUAUUCAAACUACUAUGAUGAAUUUUCGUAAAGCCGUCAAAGAAAUUGUCUAAUUUUUUCACGAAUAAAUCUACACUCUAAAACACCCUAAAACAUAAAAUCCAAGAUUUCCAAAUAGAAUGGCUGAACUCAGUAAAAUACCUGGCUGAAUAUUUACAAACAUGUUAGAAUGACCACUUUUUUAAUCUUUUUAUGAAAUGAUUAAGAUUCUUAUUUAAUUUGUUAUUAAUUAAAAUAUAAGAAUUAUUGCAACAAAGAAAAACUCAAUAAUAUCGAACAGAACAAAAGUUAUUGCGUUUGUUUAACACCCGCGAACUGCGAAUUUUUCGGAAAUCAAACGGUCCGCCACGUCAUCGUGAUAAUAUUAUCAUUUGUCCACCCCGCCGUUUGGUAAAAGAUCAAAAAAAAAAAAAAAGGUCGACUCGGGGUGGUAUUUAAUUUUUCCAUCUCGUUUUGUUUUGUUUUGUUUUUUUUUUUUUUAAUUAAACGGCGAUAAAUAACGAUAUCUAUUAUGUAGUUUUACACGACAAUACUGAAUACGUACGAUUAUUAUUACUUUUUUUUUCUUUUACAUUUUAACGCCUCGACGUGGUCGAUUAUCGUCGACAAAAAAUUUGGUUAACGCGUGAGUUUUUUCUUCUUUUCUCUCUCUCUCUCUCUCUCUCUCUCUCACUUGUUAAUACCGGGUGUCGUCGCUUACAGCUACUAUUAUUAUAACAACAACAGCACUCGAGUCAUAAUAAUAGUUUUUGUUGCGUUAUUAUAAUACGUCACCGUCGCUGCCGCUGCCGCCGCCGCAAUCAUAAUAUUAUUAUGGAUCUUUUGUACCUAAUGCCUGUACACAGGUACACUGACAGACAUCACGAAUAAUAUUAUUAUCUCCUGUAGGGUUGACAACCGAUCGGUGUUUGGCGAUUGAAUGUUAUUAAAUAUUAUUAUGCGCGGGAAUCUCUUUAAGCUCGCGGUGAUGGCGGGGCAUCUGCGCCACACAAUGGAAAACGAUAAUUUUUUUUUUUUUUAAUUAUUUGAAUUAAAUAUAAUGAUAAUCGGAAAAGAAUUGAUACUUUAAUAAAUUCGUAAUUUUAUUGAUUUUUUUUUUCAACCAUAAAAUAUAUUAAUACAUUAUAAAUUAUUCGAUUUCCGCGCGUACAUCACCUUUACGCAGUGGCGUGACCAGGAAUUUUCAACGGGAGAGGGUACGCAGCAAAUUAAUAUUUUCGUUUCAUGAAUAAAUCGUAGAAUCGUCUUCUGUUGUUCCCUAACUCGACAAUGAAAAUUUAAAAGCCGGACCCGCCAAACCCAAUUUCUAUUCAAUAAAUCAAGCGAUUUUUUUCUCAGGAUCUCAGCUGAAAUGUAUAAUUUUUAUACUUAAUGUACUAAUUAAAUAUUUAUAGUUGUUUCAUUUUUAAUCCGUUAUGGAAAGAGGGAUGUAACCCUUUUCCUCUUUUCCACGCCUACCUUUAUGACGUAUGCGUUUUAAUUUAUUUUGAAUUAUCUGUCUUUUAUCGAAAAACGCGUUAAUUAAAAACGUCCAUUACAAUAAUAUAAUAUCGGUUGACAGACGACGACAAUAAGACGUUUUUGACAGUGACUGCACCGCGGAUAAAGUGCAGCAGUCGUUAAAUAAAAAAACCCGUCUGACUGUAAAAUUGUAAUUAGUAUUUAAUUAGUAUAGUAGGUACAUAUAUAUAUAUAUAUAUACACAGGUAUUUUGCAGGAAAUUAGUAUAGAAUAAAUUACAUAUUUGUUAUAAUUUCCGUCUAUUAUAACUGCGCUGCAUAUAGCGUAUACAGCAGCUAUAAGCUCGUGUUAUUAUAAACACUCCUGGUUUAAAAUAAACAAUUUUUUUUUUAACUCAAUAAUCCCAGAUGGCAGAAAUUUUGUGACUAUAUAAAUUUACUGUUACUAUAUACUGUUAGUUAUAUGUGUAAAUUGAUUAUACAAUUUCUUAGAUUUAUUUAGAUUUGUCGAGUAAUUAUUUAACAAUAAUAAGCAUGUUAUGGCGAUGCAGUUUUGAGCAACUUCGUUACUAGUUUAGCAAACAAACAGUUUUGGCGAUAUUGAUUAUUGCAAUUGUUUAAUAAUUAAGCAUAGUCGAAGUUGUGAGUUUAUAUCAUUCUCUCGAAGCCAUAACUCCCAUUUUCUUUACUUGUAUGAUUAACGAUACACCCAUCAAGUUCUUUAGCUCUAUAGCUCUAAAAGAUCUAGGUACCAUAUGCAUUAAAAGUCUUAGCUUCCAUUAACAUGUAGUCUUGUCAUCUCCAUUACCACCAUCUGAACAACAUAAUAUUCCCUCACUUACUCUUUAACAAUACUGCUGCUGAUACUCAAAUUGUACACACAAAACGGGCAUACCACGAAGUAGUUAUCAUUAAAUUAUUUCUAUUUAUUCAAAUGUAAUUAUUAGUUUUCAUCUUUUUUUUUAAUAAAAUCAGAAUUUUCUUCUACAAUUUACAGUUUAAAUUGUUUAAACCUAGAAAUUGAAUGCACUGUGCAUAUUUUAAUGGUAGGGCGACACAGUGUCGGAUUAUCGUGGAUAAGGGUGAGAGGUUGAGAAACGUUGCCGUAAAGCUGUCAAAAAGAAUAUUCACUUACAAAUAUCUGUCUAUUUGAACAAUUUUAUUUCAAACAAUUAUAUUGUUUUAAUGCGUUUUAAUCAUUUUAAAAUAAAAUAAAAUCACGAAUUUUUAUAGUACAGAAAUGACACAUUUAUUAAUUGUAUAUGUAGCAAAAAUUUUAAAAACUUAUCCACACUAAACAGUUGUUAUGUUAUAUUAAUGCUUAUACGAAAAGCAGGAUAUUUGACCAUUUUUAAAGAGUAUAAAAACUAUAGAGGUUCCUGGUUUGGUGAAUAGAACCACGAAUAAUCAAAGAUCGGGUUAUGAGGGGGAGGGGGGAAAUGUCCCCAAUAAAUCAAUGAAACUCGAUUUACGGUACACAAAUAUUUAUAUUGCAAUAAUAAUGCGUCAAUAUAACCAUAAAUCGAAACGGUUAUCAAUAAUAGUAUUCGGAAUAGUAUAAUAUACCUACUAUAAUAAUUAUACCGUGCAAAUAGAACGGCAUUUUAGAUUGGUCGUCCGAAACAACCGUAUUACUGUUUAAAGAAUCAAACUACAAUAUCAUACUGUUUUCCGCACGCAACGAUUGCGAAAAAAAAAACUACAAACAGUAGAUGAAUAUAAAUAAAUAUACUCGCAGAACGAUAAAUACGCAGAGCCCGCGUUAACAAAAAUCGACGGAAGAGCGUAUAUCAGUGUUUUGUUAUAUCUAAAUAAAUUAUCUAGACGGGUAUAUUUCUUUAUUAUAGAUACAUGAAAGAUAAUUAAUUAUCUGAGAUAAACCGUCUAGAUAAAUCUAGAAAAAAUGUAAUCAUAUUAUUAUUUUUGAACUUAUUUGAAAUAAUAGGUACAAGUAAAAUAUUUAAUUUAUAUUAAUAUAGUUUAAUGAGUUAAUUGUUAAUAAAUUACUUCAAAGACCAGUGGUGAAACGAACGCGGUCUUUGAAAAGCGGUCGCUUUUGGAUUAUAUCUAAGAUUCAGGGGCGGGCGAGAAAUGAUUUGCUGAGUUUAAAAUUAAACUACCGUAGAAUUCUUAAAUUAUUGAUCUAAAUUUCCGGAUUUGCAGAGUAUCACUCAUAAAACCAGCACCGUUAUAUCUCCGGUCCCACGAAUAAUAUCAUUUUUUGAUGAAUAUAUUAUAAUCUUAUACUAUAAUAUUUAUAAUAAAAUAAAACUGAUCUUGUUUUACAUAAUAUUAUCGUUUAACGACCAAAACCAUUAAAGAAAAAAAUUAGUUUUAUUUAUCUUUGUAAAUACUUUUGUCUUUUAUAAUAGUUAAUAUCCCGUUUAAGAUUAAUCAAAAUGAUACUUUUCGUCUAUAUAGUUACAUACCAUAGUGAUGCUUUUUGUGACCUGCAUCAGUCUGAUGAUGUUAUUAGGGACAACUAUACACAACAUUAUAAUGGUAGUUAAUGGUAAAUCGAUAUUUAUGUAGGUAUUAAAUUUUGGUUACCUAACAUACAGCUGGCUGUACUGUACAAAAUACAGUUAAUCAUCGUGAAUAUGGGCAGUGAUUCUCGUGAGUUUUACUAAAAAAAAAAAUCCCAUUACCUGAUAAUAUUGCAGUCUUUCAUUUGUUCACAAUUUGUUGUUACCCCCCCCCCCUCCCCAAAGGAAUAUAAUAACUAUUAUUUAAAUACGUACCUGUAUUUAUGAAAUAUUUACAUACAUGUAUUUGUUUUACUUAAUAUUGUUCUAGUUAUUUAUAACAAACAAAUCUAUCAACUUAAACUUGAUUUUGAACUAUUAUAUUUAUUCGAAUGCGUUUAAAAUUAUAAAAAUGUUAUGUAGAUAUUUAUUAUAUUUAUUAUGGUUUAAAGAUUAGGAAACUGCUAUUUUAUUACAUAAUGAAUCACACGUGUAUUAGUUCUAGUUCACGAUGAAUAUUUACGUUUAAACGAAAAAAGCCAAGAGACAUUUUUCGAAGAAAAUUGUACGACAAACAUUUUCGAUUUGAAACUUUUUUCGAUUUUGGCAAUAUUUUCAAGAAAACAAUACCGCAGGUUUUUACCAUACAUUUCGUGAUCAUUGAAAUGGAUUUUGAAGAAAAUAAAACUCCAAUCCAAGGUCACGGAGUCUUUUUUAUGUUGAAGUAAAAAUUUAAAUUUGUAUAGCUUCGGAAGAAAAAACAAACUUAUAGUUGGGACUUUUUCCACUACUUCCUAAUAACAUGAAUGUUUUUAUUAAUCAAGUCUAAAAUAAUGCGUAAAACACAAUAAGCAAAAAAUAGUAAUACCUACGUAAAAAUAAUAAUAGGUUUAUACUUAAAAUUAAAAUUCUAUCCGAUAAUUAGUUUUAGUUUAAGAACUCCAAUUUUAUUUUUGGCUAGCAGUUGCAUAAUAAUAAUGGAUUAACAAAUACGUAUUAAAAUAAUAAAUACACAACUGCAGUCUAAUUAUAAUACCUAAAAAGCUAAGUGCAUUUAUAUUAUAUAUAUAAAAUAUGGUAUAUUAGAUUGAUAAUUUAGUAAUAUCUGUGACUAUUUCAGAUAUUAUGAAUUAUAAUAACUUAUAAUACAAUAUGCUUAUACAUUGUUUCUCGACUAUAUGUCGUAGUUUUAACUUAUCUUUGUAAUAUUAUUAUAUCAAUGGUUUUUUUAAAUAUUAAUUUGUACGUUGAACUCGUCGCGUAUUGUUAUAAUAAUUAUAAAUUAUCGGCUUUUACUUAUUUCGUUAUCUGAAUGUACACAAUGUUUAUAAAAUUUAGAGACGUUUUGAACGCCCUGUAUUGCUGCAGGUUAUAUUUCGAAUUAGAAUAGACGUACCUACUUACCAAUCAAGCAACUAUUUUUAGUUACAUAAUCCGUGUAUAAAUAUGAACUAAAUGGAAUAUUUAAAACGAAUUAGUAUAACACUCAAUACUCAAACACAUGCACACAUAAUAUUAUGCCUAUAUACUUAUGCGCAGAUCUGACUUAAUUAAUAAUUACGAUGAGUGUACACAACAGUAUAGUGCGAGAGGCGAGUUCGCGUGUAAUAGCGGAUAAUUUACAAUUAAAUUAAAAACGCUAUAUUAUAUCUACAAAUAUAAAUAAAAUUGAAGUGUCUGUCUGUCUGUUUGUCCGGGGUAAUCUCUAUAAACGGCCUAAACCGUUUUUGACGGGACUUUCACGGCGAGAAUAUUUUCCGAGGCAUAAUUUAGCUUACUAUAUUCAUUUUAUUCCGUAAUCCGACCCCUCAAUAGUGGACGACGCUUGAUUUUUGGUUUUAUAAUUCGAAAUUUCGUUUAUUUAUCUAUUACCUCGUUAUCGCGGAUUUAAAAAAAAAAAAAAAAAAAACAAUUUUAAUCAUUUUUUAUUACCGUUUAGGACUGAUAGUUUAUAAUAUAAUAAUUAUCUAACAAACUUACGACAUGUGUAUCUAUGUGUUUAUUGUUUGUCGUAAGUAAUAAUUAGGUACUUGCAACCUGCCAUGUUUAUGCCGACGGCGACGUUCAAAAAGCCUUAAUGGAAAUAUAAUCACAUACCUAGAUAAUAAUAUUUCCAUAACAAUAAUUGUACGAAAAUGAUAACAAAAACAAAAUAACAAUUCUACGUAUACCUUCAUAGACAAUAUUGACUAUUUCGACAAUCGAUCGCAUACUGGCGAUACUUGGGGUUGCCGCGUAAACUUGGAAGUAUUAAUUUGUAACUCGUGUAAGUUUAUGCAAUAGUCCGUAUAGAAAUUAUUUGUUUCAAUGUCGUUUCCCAUUAAAUUCAGUUUAAAUUUUUUAUUUAUAGUUUUUUUUUUCUGAGUGCAUUACAUCAUUGUUAAUGUAGUUGUACAGUUUUUACUUGAUAAGUACCGAUAAGAUUUUUUUUUUUUCUAAUGAAUAUCUUCCACGAAAAUACUAUGUCGAAAACAUACAUUUUAUCGAAUAACUCGAUAAACAUUAUACACUUAUCGCAUAUAAUAUUGACUAUCCAGUUCAAGACUGCAACAGCUCAAAAAAUACUUAUGAUGAGUGGACUACGCUAUUCUUUUUCUAUCCUUUGUAAAACGAUUUUAACUCAAGAAUGAAACAAACAAAAUUAAUUUAAUUAUUGAUCACUAAAAGCUCUUAUUUCGUUUUAGAAUAAAUAUAAAUAAUAAUUAUGUUGGUUUAACACAGCCAGUUCUAAAAGUAAAUCAAGUAUGCAAUUGUUACAUUUAGUUCAUGUAUUUAUACAAUAUUAGUAACAAACUAACAAUAGAAACAUAAAGGAAAUAAUACAUCUAUGCGUAUACCAACAAUUGUAUUCGUAACUAAUCUAUUCCAUUUUUGUAGUUAAGUAAAUAUUAAUUGAAUUUUUAUAUCACUUUUAUAAAACCCUUUUUAUUAACUAGAUAGUCUAUAUUAUUUAGUUGCAUUUUAAACAUGUCUAUUAAUAUUCUAUACAAUUCUGUAGGUAAUAUGAGCAACUGGCGGCCCAUGUAUUCUAAUUUUAUUUCCAAAACAAAUUUUUGCACGUGAGAAACUGCAUCGAAUUUAGAGAGAAAAAAUAAUUUACGCAGGAUAAUCUACCAAAUUUCGUGUAUCAUUUAUAAAGACCUCAAUAGUUUUGUUCUGUUAAGUCCGGUGCACACGACGCUUGUUAUUGCUAGAUCGCCUGCUUGCAGAAAACCGCGAUGGCUCGCUUGCGUGAUUACGUUAACGUCGCACGAGGAUUGUUGUCGAACUGGUUUUCUAAUUUGCACACAAACUAACAUAUAACAUAACAUAACAUAACACUCUAUUCUCUGAUUGGUUCCUCGCUUAAAUCUAGCAAGGAAUCAAGGUAGGGAAAUAGGCCAUAUGUUCUGUCACGAAAUUCAAUACACGAUCGCUCAGCGGAGUCAUCACGGGACGAGUCACGGCUCCCAACAGGAAAUCUGUAGCAAAAAAAAAACAAAACACGGCGUGACGGGUUUUAUUGAAAAAUAUACAUAAAAAGAGACCCCCCCCCCCGAUAAAUAGUGUAAAAAUUGUAUUAUUGCAAUUAUAGUUAAAUAAUAUUUAUAACAGUAUAAUCUAUACAUUUAUAAUAAUUGCCAAUAUUAAUCAUUUUCAAUCAAUUUAUUUGUUUAUAAGUAUUAUAAUAUAAUAAUAAUAUAGUUUCAGUUUUAACAAACAAGUAGGUGUAUGCUUGUUGUUAAUUGACGUGCACAAAAUUGCGAGAUAUUAAUUAAUUUGUAUUAUAAUUGAAAUUUGCUAAGAAACAAAGAAACCAACUUGAUCUAGUUUAUCGCGUAUAAUGUACAGUUGCGUAUAUAGAAAUAUGAAUUAUUAUUAAAAUCGGAGAAUACGUUUACGGAGAAAAAAACAAUAAUAUUUUUGAGAUAAGUAUAAUAUUAUCUAAGUAGUGUACAUAGAAUUCUACAAUGAUGGAUCGACUUCCUUAAACGAUUGCGACGAUUGCAAAAUCAGUGCGUUUACAAAAUAAUAAUUUUACUAUCUAUUCAAUUCAACUGAAAUAUUAAAAUAACGACAUGGUCUCUGUGCAUAAUACGCAUUAAAGUGUAAUCUAUAAGAACAGGUACCUAUCAUUCGUGUAGAUACAUAAUAUCUAUUUGCAUAACCAAUAAUAUACGCAUACUUAAAGGAACUUAAGAUAGUAAGAGAGUGACCGACCAUAGAUGAUAAGGAAAUCGAUAAGGCAUGCCCAUACUAAAUAUCUAUAUUAUAGCUGUAUAAUAACUAUCAAGAGGGACUCGGUUCCUGGAAUGGCAGUCAAUUGAGGUCAAUUAUCAUACCAAUUAACCAUACCGCCUCCGUGGUUAAUAAAGUUACUUUCCUAGGAUUAUAAAAUAGAUUAAUCUACUCUGUGCUAAAAUUAUAAUAUUUAAAUUAUCAUUUAUUUUUAACUUCUGCGGUCAAAUUUGAACACAAAAUAUUUGUACCGUAAAUAGAAAAAAAAUCGCCCCAGUUUCUUAUCAUUCAAGAACUAACAAUGCUAAGCUAUUUUCUAUCCAUUCCUUUAUCGUCUCUGAGGCCUACCCGAUGAAUAUUAUCUAUUAGUUUCACUGUUAUCACUGACUAUCAUGGACGCCAUUUGUCGUCCAGAUAUUCUCCAUAAUAUAUGUUUAUGGUAUAAAUUAAAAUUUAAAACGUGUACAUAGAAUGUAAUACAUAAAUAUGAUUAAUCGAAUAAACGAAUAAAUAAUAGUGUACAUUUUAUGAAACUCCUGCUAAUUAUUUUUAAUACCAACGUACAAAUACUUAGUAUUUGUGUUAAUAUUAUCUACGGGUGGACGAUGAAUGGCUACUAUCUAAUCAGUUGGCCACUCUCUUAUUAUCUGGGUCUUUGCAGUUGCCUACCCAAUCGAACGUUAAUUAAAAACAAUCGAUUCGCAGAAAACACAAUGCCUAUUAUGCGCUCUCGAUUAUUAUAUUAUUAUUUAUUACCAGUUAUAAAAAUGCUUUAUUCUUAAAACGGACUAUAAUAUAUUAUAGUCUCACCACUGAGAAAAACGAACUUUGUUCUUUGUUUCCGGAGAUUUUUGUCUAUUAUACAGAAUUCGGGGAACAGAUGUAAAGUAGAAAAAAAAAAAAAUAAUUAAUAAUCCAUCCGUAGACGAAAAACCGCGGCGGUAGUUGUAGGUUACCGAGUUUACGUUGCCGGAUUUGUUCACCAAAUAAAUGUAUGAAAUAAAAUCAUUUAGGCACUAUGAGCAACUCAGAGUUAGGUAAUAACAAUUUAUACAGGCAUUUAUUUUAAUUUUAGGUUUUUUUUUACACAUAUUAAAAAAAAAAAAAUUCUUUAAAAUUAAAGAUUGGAAAAGUGACUUUACCAAUCUCGUUUACACUUCGCGCUGAACUCAAAUCUUUUUUCGGAAUUCUAAUCACUUUACUGCGCGUCGAUCAGAAACUGACGAUAAUUAACGCCUAGCGUUUAAUUUCUGAUUUCGUGAUCAUGAAUUACUAGUAGAACUGAUUAUUGUCUAAAUCACUAUACUGCGUAUGCGUGUUUCAUAAAACAAAAAAAAGAAUUAUCGGUAUCAGUGGUAACUCGUGUGUGAAUAUUCUGAAAAUUCAAGGUGAGAGAGUAUCAAUAUAUUACACAGGGAACCAAAUAGGUAUGUCAGAAAUAGAAAACGAGAUACUGUCAUCAUUACCUAAUUAUCCAAAAUUAUUAAAAUGUAAAAAUAUACAUAUUUUUUUUUAAAAAUAAAUCAAUACUACCUAUACGUAUAUUUUGAAUGGAAAUGAUUUUAAGAUAUUGAAAUAUAUUUAUUGUAGUAGACAAAUAUUGUAAAUGAGGUAGCAUUUAUAAUUAAAAUGUCUAAUAAGUUUUAUAAAACAGUCAUUCAGUUUUAAUUUUUGUAUUGAAGAAUUUUUUGCACAAACGGUUUUUCGACAACAUAUUUUACAGGGUUAACGCUCCUGUCUCGUAGAGACGUCUGCUUUUUUUUGUUAGAAAGUUCCUACAGGACGCAAUGGACUUUGAAUUUUAAUUAUGUAACCAAAAACUACCACACGAAAAAAUGAGUUUUAAAAAUAUGUCGCAUACAAACUCAAAUUAUAGUAUUAGAUAUAUAAUUUUCAAAAUCCAUAUCCCACACACGCGGUAAGGAGAAAAUAAGAAAAUUAUCGAAAUCGGACCACAGUUCCCACUUUGGAUAACGUGCAACGGAUACGAUGGCGAAAAACCGGGAGCUCGAACGUUCUCGGGAGGAUAAUUUAUUAUAUAAAAAAAUAACACUUUUCAACUAACGCGAUAAAUUAAUAUAAAGUACUUUAUUCUAUCGUCGGUAUUGUAUUUUAAUGAAGCUAGUAAAUCAAUGUGAAUGAUAAUAAUAAUAAUAAUAAAUAAUAAUUGGACGCGCCGUUCGCCGUACCUAUAUUAUGCAUGCACAAUUAUUUAUUAGCGGCGUACAUACGGAACAUAAUAAUACUCGCAAAUAUUUUAUUAUUAUUGAAUAAAUACAACAUCUUUGAUUUUUCCUCGGUCCGUUCCUUUCGGAAACAGAGAUGGGGGGGGAGGUAGGGUUACAAAAACCAUUUCAAAGGACAUGACGACAUUAUUAUUGUUUAUUCUAAAGUUUAUUGCGCGCAGUUUCUUAUAUGUUUACUCGCGAAGACGUCCGGUGAGCGCUGUUGUUUUGUGUUUCUGUCAGAAUGUAAAUGGAAACGAAUAAAAGUUCCCGCGUCCCCUAGUCUCGCGUUAUCCUUGCUUCGGCGAGGGUGGGGAUAAUAGAAAAUCUAUGUAUACUUGACCGGAACGCAAUACACGCGUAGACGAAUAGUCGUCGUUUCUUCAGUAUUUUUUUGUUCUACUACGCCGUAACGCCAACGCACGCAUAAAUUAUUACAGCACCGUAUCACCUACGUCUGAACGCAAUUCAUCGUCAUUUUUCUGCAGGGACUCCAGCGUUCCAAAUGUUUAGACCGUAGGGGUUUUCGGCGGGAACAGGUUUGUAUAGUUAUGGUCUGAAUGAUGCAGGCAGUAGUGUAAUCAGUGGGAGGGGGUCGAGAUUUUAUUACCAUUUCCACGAAAAAUAAUACAAAUACGAUUGUAGAAUUUGUAUUGCAACUAUACAGACAUUUCUGUGCAAUUUUAAGCACGCAAAUUUUGUCUGAAAUCUCGAAAAAUACUAUACCCACGUACUAGUAUUUUUAAAAAUAAAUUACAAAUAUAAUUUGAAUAUAGUAAAUAAUUAUGUAGAUAAAAAAUGCGCACAUAGAAAUAAAAAUAAAUAAAUAAAUAAAUGCGUCGCUUGAAGUAUUAUGAUGAGUGCAUUAUACGACCGGUUUCGAAUUAAAAAUUCAUCAUCAGGUAGACCACAGUCAAAAUGUAAAUUUUUAUUUAUAUAUUUAUAUACGAGUAUUAAAAAUUUUAAUAAUUUUGUUUUACUUUAUUAUUUUAUUAAAUUAAAUUUGUUUUAUUUUUAUAUUAGGAGUUUUUACCGCAUAUUUACGAAAUUUUAAAUUCGGAACGCAGUAAGGAAUGUAUUGGUUUUAUAAUAAUAUGUAUUUUUUAUCUGUGAACUACUAUUAAUCUUGUUCCGAUUUUCAUAGCGUAGUAUUUUUUCUAAGAGGAUAUUUUUAUCUGAGUGGUGCUUUAGGUAAUUUAUUGAUUUUCUUAGCGAUUUUCGUAAUAAUUGGGAAAAACUCAGAAAACGCUGGAAAAUGUACGUACACAUAUAAAAAAAAAACAUAGCUUUGAAUCGUUUUUCGUUAGUAAUGGUUUAUCGUUGCCUACAGAUAUAAACUAAAUCCAUCCUCCAUCCCAACUUCUCAUAUAAAAAAGUGGCUCACCCAUCGUGCAAAGUAUGUCCACCUUUUUAUAAACACUAUAAUAUUAUAUUCUAUACUCCCAACUCCCAAUCUAAAACAGUGGCACAUCUACGACACGAAGUGUUUGUUGUCGACCGGAAGACAUCGUAACUGCAUGAGAUGUUUCAUCAGCUGUUUCGACUAAAAUAAUAGUAAUAGGUACGCGAAGGUGCCACGCCGCGGAAUGUGUCUGCCAAUAACAAUUUUUUUUUUAUAUCGGUAUAUUUUUUGCAGGAUUCCGAACUAUGUUAAAUGUUUUUAUUUAUUUACUCGUUAAAUUGCAUGCGUAUAAUUUUGGGUUAGUGAAAAUUGUCGAAAAGCUCUGUAUUCUGCGAACAUACAUAUCUACCGUAGAUUUUUCAGGUCGGUUUUUUAACAACCUCGAGUUUUCACAAACCGACGAAAACAAAUUAAAUGACAACAACGUGUAUAGAAAUACACGCGCGAAAAUAACAUUCGAAUUAAUUAAACGAUACUGGCUGUAAUAGAAGGCCACACGUUGAUGUCGGUUUUUUUUUGUUAAAAUUAAAUACUCGCCAAUAACGAAUAAUGAAAAAAAAAAAAAAAAAUUAAAGCAGAUACUAUUGAAAGGUAUUCAAAAUGUGCCACUAUACAGAAGUUGGAAUGGGAUAUUUUAAUAUAUAACUAAUAUAAUAAGAUAAUUCAAUUUACAUCUGGGUGCAAUGAUAAAUCAUUGAUAGCGAAGAACGAUUCUGAACAGAGAAUUAUUAGUCAUAUUUUUUCACACGAUGCUAAGGUGGUAACCUGGAAAUUAACAAAAAUUGCGUGAUUUUCCGAUUUAUUUAGAAAACUGCAAAAAUCAAGAAAAUGACCCUCGAAAUGUACCAAAUGUAUCAAUGUAACAAUGCCAUAAGAAAGUUCCAAUUUCAAGUUUUCGACCGGAGCCAGAUUUUUGGUACAGUAAAGUUGUUAACAGACAAAAAAAAAAAAAACACAUCAUAGCGAAACCAAUACGUUCAUCGCUUCGCUCAGAAUCUAAUAAACCCGUUCGCACUGCACCCCGCCUAUUAUAUCAAACUGUAGAAAAAUAGACGUUAUAAUAUACGGAUUUUUUUUUUUAAAGGCGAGCUCGCGAACAUAAUAACAUACGACCGUAAUAAUAAUAAUAAUAAUAAUAAUAAUACCUAUGUUGGCCACCGCCGUCUGAGGGGAAAAUAUUGGUUUUUACGCGUGACCGAACCGCGUAUAUUGUGAUAAUAUAAUCAGAGCCCUUCGCUGCGCGCACAUAACACCGGUGACGUUCGAUCGCAUGUAAACACAAACGCGUCGGUACAAAUAUAUAUUAAUAUCAUCUGUGUCCAAAAGUUUGCCUCGUGCGCUAUACAGGAAAUUACGUCAUUGUAUCGUGUUGAAAUAUAUACGCAUGUAAUACACAAAACCGAGAAGCAUUGUUAACAAUAGUAUACAUAUAUAUGUAUGUAUGUAUGUAUGUAUGUAUGUAAGUGUAUCUAUAGGAAUUUAAUAAUAUAAUAUCGCGUUGAGUUUCGUAUGAAAGAGCCAGUGUUCACCAGUACUCGGGAUAAGACAGGAUAAAAAAGAGGGGGGGGAGAGGGGUAGAACUGUAGCUCCGAGCCGCAAGUCAAAGGAGUACCACAAUAUUUCGUCUCAAUUUUUUUUUCUUUUUUAGUUUUUUUUUUUAUUUUCACUUAGUAUGAAAAUAUACGCCGACAUACGUCAUAGACGUUUUGUCAUUCAACGGAAACUCAUGCUAGAAACCACUUGUUCGUACAAUAAUAAAAUGCUGUUUUGAAACUACAUCAUAAGUACCUCUUAUCAUUUAGUAUAAAUAGUAUAUAAUAGUUAUUCGCGAUACAAAGCAAAUGAGCUCGGUGACGACGAGAUAGUCUAUAACGGAGCUACUCUAUAUAGGGUUAUACUUAUCAGGGACGAGUCCGGGGGGGCUAAGGGGCCCACGCCUCCUCCAGAUAUAUUAUUUCUCCGAUUUUUCUUUGAGAAAGUAACAUAAAUAAUGUAUUAUAUUAUAUUUUGAUUGUAUUUGUGUUGUAAUAAAACAUUUUUGAGGCCCCCUCAGAUCGUUGUUUUGGAUACUUAUCAAUACGAUUCAUUCGCCAUCUUAAAUUGUAAAUCGUAAAUCUCGUUUAUCGAGAUAAUCUCAGCAUUAACAAGAACUAUAAUGGAGGAAGAAAAUAGAAAAAAGAGCCGUUAUCCGCGUUUUGUCUGUAACAAGUCUGGAAAAUCACGGCCAACCGCCGCUGACGACGCGACGGCGGCCUUGCCGUGGUUUGUGCGCGCGACUGAAUGUUUGGAAUACGAAAUUUCAAUUAUACGACUGCAAUGAGAUUAAUAACAUUAUUAUCGGUUCGUCUCACGUCGGUUUUAUUGGAAUUUUAAUGAUGUGCGUGGAUGAUGAAUCCAGACGUUUCCUAUACAAUCAAUACUAUAGUUGCCAUUGGUUCGCGAUCACCUCGAUCAUAAAAGUAAUAUAAUCACUGCGGAAAAAACACAGUCCGUAAAUCGAAUCUCCCAGGUAAUCGAGUCUCAACUACAGAAAACAAAAAAACACCCGUGAACUUCCUGUCACUCUGUCACAUGAGUAAAAUUGUUCUCAGUCAACAUGUUGCCGUUACAAUAUUUCCUUUUUUUUUUCUUCGUAGUCACCAGAGUUUAAUUACAUUUUAUGGGUAUUCGAAAUCUGGUAUUUCAUGUGAGAACAUGAGAUUUGAUCAUAAAAAUUAUUUGGGAGAGGAUUGAGAGUUGAAAUUUCCAAAAGCCUUUGAUACUUAGGUAGGUAUACACUAUUCAUAUACAAAAUGUCAUCAUUUGGUGGAUCUGUCGAGAUAUUCAAAGCUAAAAAGUCUUCUCAGUGACAUGGUGAAAUUCAUACUGAAAUUCAACCAAAACGGUAUUACUUCAGCUAUUCGAUAAAACAACUUUAAUUCCCGAGUUUGACCUCAUCUGAUCCAGAAGGAAUAACUUAAGUGGCCAAAAGUAACUGAAAAAUAAUAUAUAUAUAUUUAUAUAUUAGACACAAUACAGUGUUGUAGUGUAAGUUUUCGGGGAAAAUUCAAAAAAAGAGAAAUGCGUCUAAAACGGACAUCCAAGGGGCUGAAAAAUAGCGUGCCGUUAACAAAAACCUUUGUGCAUUUUUUUCGUGGACCACUUAUAGUCUCGAAAAUAAUUUUUAUCUGCAAAACGGGAGGGUGGAGAAAAAACUACUCGAGUUUGACUAAUAUAAUGAUAAUAAUAAAUUUGAAGGAUCUCAUAUCAUAUCUGUAAAGCGAUCGGCGGCCGAGACCGAGUAAGUCCUAAAAUGACACGACUCCGCCACGACGUUUUAAGAUUACAUAGGUGACGUGUAAUAACAAUAUAUUAUAGUUGGAUUGUGAGAUGGGGGGAGGGGACGGGACUAUAAUUUAUAAAAAUAACUUGACGUUGUAUGAACAUUGAAAGGUCGUUGAUAGCUGUUUUAUCUGGACCACCGAAUAAGACGUAAAAAAAAUCAUAAGUUUCACGGCAAAAGAAGUUCUUCGAAAAUCGAAAUUGUAUUAUAAUCUAAUCUGUACCACCAACGACGGGGAUCUUGUAUUGUUUUUUAUUUUCUUAGUCGUAUAAUACGGAUUACGAAGAUCAUAAAUGUGAUGUCUCAUCAGACAUCGAGUCGCAUUAUGCGUCCUUGGCCGAGUAAAAGUGGUUAUACAGUCGGACGGCACCGCGGGAGACUUUUGCUUUUGUCUGUGUCCCCGGUAUCGUACAGAUUUAGAAAAAAAAUAAUUUACCGCAGUUAUCGAUGAAUUUAAUAUAGAUAUAGGUUCCGGUUAUAAUACCUAUGGUAGGCCUUAUUCGCUGUUUCACGUUGUAAUAAAUAUUCGUCGACAGUGUUGAGACACAGAUAUAAUAAAAAUUGAUCCAGAUAAAGAUAAAGAUAAAACGUUAAACAUCUUUAUAUACAGAUAAAUGAUGAACUGAAAUUAUCCAUAUAACAGAUAAAAUACAAUCAUAUUUUAUCUAGAUAAAAACAGAUACCAAUAAGAAUAUUUUAAAAUUGUACCAGCUAAGUAUAAAAGUAUGGAAAUGUUCAAACUAACGUUAUGAACUGUUAUGGAGUUCAAUUAACUUACUUGUAUAAAACAGUUUUGUUUAAAUUCUGAAUGAAAAAUUUCCGCAAAUCUGAUCUUGGAAUCGGUAUAUAAUAAAGUUAAAACUUAUAAGUAACUUAAUUUUGGUACUUAAUAUUAAGUUUUCAUUUUGUAAAUGUCAAGUCUUGAAAAAAGUACAUUGAUACACAAUAAUUUAACUAGACAAGUGACAUUUUUAAAUAUUUAGAUAACCUGGCAAUAUUACUCUAAAUGAAAUAUAAAAUAAUCAAACGUUUAUCUAGAUAAGUUUCAACACUGUUUAUCGAGUAUUUUACUUAUAGAAAAUAUUGGUUUAGAUAUUAUAGUCGGUUAGUGCUGCGUAUAUAGUAAAAAUACAAAAAAAAAAGAAAAGAAAAUAUGAAAUCGUGAGGGUUAUGAGAAAUUUAUAAAAACGUCACGUUUAGAAAAAGACACGUUUGCAAAAAAAAAUGUAUAUAUAUAUAUUAUAUAUACAUUAUAUAUACGAGUGUUGAGCGAAAAAGCUAUUAGCUUGACCGAGAUGUGCAGUUUUUUGUCUCUCGGAAAACACUUUUUUUCGGUUAGUAAAAAUGUGUUCGAAAACUUUCACACCGAAAAACGAGGAUUUUCCGCUCGGUGGUGUAUAAAUUUGAAAUAUUUUUCUAUAUAUUAUAUUGCCAAUAAAAAUUUUUCCAAGCAAUAGUUUGAAAAAAAUAAUAUCGUUAAAAACGACGGCACACCGGUUAUAUGCGGACAACAUCUUUAGAUCUGAAAUAUUGAAGCUGUAGGGGUUCGAAAAUAAAAUUUAAAUUUCUAUUAUACGGUUCCGCACACUGGAAAACGUUGGAUUUUUCGGUUUUAUGGAGGAAAAAACAGUCACGACCGUACCAGGUUGACCGAGCUCCACUCAGAAUUGUUUUUAUUCGUAUACCUUAUAAAUCGUUUACACCGGAUAUUCCUCUACUCUUAUUGGGGGCGAAGGAUGCCGGGCUUUUUCAAAGCAUAUUGUUAUGUCUCGACAAAUCCGGCGGUGUAAAAAUAAAUUACGAUCGUUUUAUGUUACCACGAGAAUAUUUUUUACAUAAUAUAUUAUAAAUGUUAGGCGCGCGAACACUAGACGCUUUCGUCCGGUCGCUUUAAUUGCGCGGAAGGUAAACUGGCGGCGGGCACACCCGGUAGAAUUCGUUAUCAUAUUUAUUCUAUUUUUUAUGUACCCACUUACAAUUUAGACGUGGUAUAUUAUGCUGCGAGUUACAUAUUGUUUAUUGUUGCGUAUACCUAAUAGUUUCUUGAUUACCCUUGAACGAAUCCGUGUUAAUUAUAAACCCGCAAAAGUGGAAGAAAUUUAAUCAGGAGUACGCGCGUGCGUUUCAAAACUGUGGUUAAUUUUUUUUUUUUUAUAAUUUCUUUGAUUUUAAAUUCUGGCCGUCGAGCCACGAAAUAACUGUAAUUGAGAAUAUAAUCUACAUAGAUGUACGUAUUAUGAUUACAUAUUACACGGUACGCGUGAGAACACUUACAUCAGGGAUGGUAUAUUCCUUUAUCGGGAUGGUCGAAUUGCACUUUUUAACUAAAUUAAAUGGUUUUAAAGAAAUUCAAUUCCCUUCCCACUUACAGGCUUAGGACUGACAAUGAUUUUAACCAUUAGCGUGGUUAAAAUUAAUUUUCUUGUCAAAUUAUUAAAAUUAUUAUUUGAAAUAUUAUGAUUUAUACUCAUUGUACAAUUUGAACUCUCCCACCCCUCUUGUGUGGCGUUCGAACAUUGUCGGCAAUGUAAAACAUCUUAAUCUCUAAUUUAUCAUCGGUCUCGUCACCAUUCUUGGAUUUUUGAUUACAAAACCCUCCGACCAUCAAGAGGAAGGUAACCCAGUUCGAUAUUAUAGACCGAAGAAUCCCUCGUCCUAUUUUUAUUAAGUAAUUAUAUUGUUUAGCUAACACAUGGUUGCUCAACAUACAUCUCAAAACAAUUACGUAUAUUAUGCGAUUUAAAAAUGGCCAAUAUUCCAUUCUUAUAUUAUCCUUUACGUUGUUUUACAAUAAAUUAGCUUUUAUUUAUGAAUCGGUCUUAUUUUUUCUGUUUUUUUUUUUUUUUUUUUUUUUUUUUUUUUUAAGAGUUGUUAUAUUAUUGUUUAUACAUUAUUAUUCCUCUAAUAUAUGAGAUAUUGUUUUCAAAUAAGGUUACCGACUUACCGUAAGACUUUGUCGGGUAUUAGAUAAUAACAAUUUGUGUCCGACGUUUUUAGAUUCUAAACGGAGCUCGAAGGAAUGUAUUGAUUUUACUAUUAUAUAUGUAUAUAAUAUGAUGUGAUUGUGUGGGUGUUAGCCGUCUGUUAAAGUAAUUUCGAUCAGAAGAUACUACUUGCUCCAAUAAAAAAAAAAAAAAAAAAAUAGUAAUAAUAUCGACAGAGGUUUCUGAUAAAAUAUAUUUUUCAUCCAAUUUAAAUUUAUAAUACCUACUUUUGUCUUUUAUUAUUAUUAUUAUUAUUUUUUUAAUAAUAUAUAAGGAAAAACCGACAACAAAUGGCACGGUAUGAAAAAAUAGUCAAUGACGAUAUGGCAUGCAAAAAUAAAACAUUCCGAACGUAUAGACAGAUGCAUCCGACCAGAUUGCAAAACAUCUCGAAGCUAAAUUUUUCAUAAUUAAUUUUUUUUUAAUUGUUGAUUUUUGAGAUUUCUUGAUUACACGGAGAAAAAACAACUUUAAUCUUAUAGUCAAGGUCACUGAGCUCCACCCAAAAUCGUUUUUUAUUUACAACGAUAUAAACUAAAUUAUCCAUUUAUCUUACCAACUUCCUGUUUACAAUAGUUAGUACGUAAAACAUAUAGUUUUACUAAUUAUCGAUGAGUCAUAAUAUUUCUUUCAGUUUUGUAAACGAUCCUUUUUUUUAAAAAAAAAUUAUAAGGAUAGUAAAAUGAUUUUAUUAUAAUACAGUCACAAUUUUAAAGAAACAAUUUUCGGGGACAAAUCUCCAAAAUGUCUGCAUAGAACUGGGUUAAGGGGGAGGGCUAGAGAGGCUGAAACCCAGACCGAUGGACGAAGGGAUCACAAAUCACAACAGUCCAUCUCUUUUAUUUUUAAUUUUUUUUUUUAGAUUCUGAGUGUUACGAAAAAACUAUAGAUAUUAGAUUUACAAAGACGUGUUUUUUAUUCUUACAAAACACUUUUUUGAUUAGUAAAAAGCUUCAUUUUGUUUAUGUCGUCUCUUAAGAAAUUCGUAUAUUUCACUCGAUGGUAGUUAUUUAAAGCAUUUAUUGACAUUUUUAAAAAUUCGACCUCUUGAGGUUUUUUUUUGUUUUUCAAUUACUAAAAGGGUUCUAUCCAGAGUAGGUGUAAACUUCAUUCAGACUUUGACUGCAAUUCGAUCCUGGAUCCGUGGAUUACGGUUAAUUUCCGUCGACUCCGUUCCCCAAAAAUCGCUUAAAAGUUUUUUCCAUCGUCAUAAUUUAGAUAGGUUUUGUUUUUUAGGAUGUUAAUAAUAUAGACGUAUAAUAAUUCGAUAUUCUCCAAACACGUGUAUUCAUAUAGUUAAUCGAGUUUUUCGACGCGCGAGACAACACCCGAUUUGAAAGCAAGUGGCUAUAAUGGGGCGAACAAAAAUUUAUUGCAAAAUUUAUUAUUACAUAUUAUUAUAGGUAAGUUUCGUCAUGUAGAAAUCUGACUGGGCAAAAAACGUAUUAUGUUAGCACCACACACCGGAAUAGACGCCUUGUCAUUACGGAUUACAACGUUGGUUUUUUUGUUUUUAGUUUUUUCUAACCGUGACAUUCUGUAUAUACUUUACCUAUAUGAUACCUAUACGUAAUAUACGGUUAACACAAUCGGAAGCGUUAAAUGUUAACUAACCGACCUAACCCGGUGCCCUAAAAAUCCGUCUGUUUUCAAUAUUAUAUUGCCACAGUUAUUAUUUUAUUAUAAUUUAUUGCGGCAUAACCCUCUGUGGAUGAUUACUAUUGCGUUGGUAUUACUGCACAAUAGUAUUGGUUUACUAUUGAUAAAUAAAUAAUAAUAAUACAAAAACAAAAAAUGUCAAGGAAAACGUAACUUUUCGGGUUUGAAAACAGUGACGAAAAGUCCACGCAACUCUAUUAUCAAAAAGAGGAGAGAAUUAAAAAUUCUCAGAACAUAACAUUUUGAGUAAUCAAAAAAUGUUUUUUCUGUCUUUUAUUUUUACGCGAGAUAGUUUAGCCUAUAUCCGUCACUUUCUUCCUUUAAAAGUUAAACCUUGUCAUUGUUAUUGAAACCAAAUAAACCGACCCUUAGCAGUUUCCUUUAGUUUCUAUUGUAGUUCUUAUAACUAAUUUGUGACAUAAUCCUUUGGAGGAUAUAAUCCUAGGUCUCUCUUUAGUUCUCUUGCUUAAAAUCUCCCUUUUAAAAUCGUCUAAAUGUUUCUCAUGUCACCCAUGAAGAUUAGGUCAUUUAUAUACACUGUUUAUGAGAAAAUUAUAUGUAUAUUAUAUAUCAUCAUUUUUUUAUGUACUCUACGUGCUCUCAAUUGUCACCCCUAAUAGAGAUACAGUCACUUUUUCUUCAAUCUAAUUUCUUCCCCGGCUUUAGUCUAACGCGAAUCCACUAUCUUCUUGAUGACCUUAUCAUUAAUAUAUUCUUCUUUAAACAUGCCCAUAAAUACGGCACCUUUUUAUCAACAACCUUACCGGCCGCUUUUUUCCACUUUUUCGGACUCACCUAAUUCGACUAUAAUAAUAUAGCUAUAUACAUAUUCCACAAUUCUUUCGCUAGUUUGCAUCGUUGAACCAUUUUAAUUUUAAUUUUUUUAAACUUAUAAUUUCGAUAGAUACUCAUAUAAUAAUUAUAAAUAUCUACUUAAUGCGUAAUAUUUUGUCCCCUACCCAUUCAGGAUUUCCUACUAUAGACGAACGUUCUUAUCUCAUGCCUACCUACAAUUAAUAAUUCUCCUCGACGCGCGACGUUGCGAUUAGGUGUGGUUUGCCGAGAGUGUCUUACGUGAUUUCCAGAGGAUUACGAUCGGAGAGAACUUUUAUUUAUUUUACGCCCGUCAUCCGUGGUCGGAGACGUUCGAAGAGAUUACUGCGGAUGAAAAUUAUAAUUAAUUUUUUUUUUUAAACGAACAUUAUGUAUUUUUUUUUUCUUUUGCUCUUUAUUAUUAGAGUCCAUACAGUUUGUUGCCAAGGUGUCUAGAGGUAAAAUAGGCGAUCAAAACGCGGCAAACCACCAUUCAAUUGAUCAGAUAUCUAGGUAUUAUAUUAUUAUAAAUUUGUUCUCGGCAACACUGGGCCAAAGUCACAAUAAUAACUAUCAGCUGCAGCAAUGGUGCCCCUGACCUGCAUCAAGUUUACCUUCACCAUAAUAAUAUUAUCCCAUUAUUAUAUUAUGACGGGACAUCCUCCGUAACAUCACGAACGGUUGCUAAUAACCGGUUUUUUUUUUUUUUUUUUAAUUGGUGGCUGGCGUUCCGUUUCGUGCGUUUCGUGUCACGGGUGAACAAAAACAACACGGCUGACCGACAAUUUUGACAAACAUAUAAUAUAAUAUGGACGCGGAUGGUAAUUAAUUAAGUAAAAGAAAAAAAGCUAAUAUUGUUGAUGGGUGUACCACUGUUUUAAGAGGAAAGUUAGAAGGGAAGAUUCAGGAUAUCUAGUACUUUAAGUUAAAUCCGUGCGUAAGGUACAAUUGCAGCUAACGAGAAAACGAUUCUGAGUGGAGUUCGGUUAAUAGUGUUGCAUUGUCAACAAUAUAUAUGUAAUAUUAUGGUAAAAUAAUUACAUAUACAUAUAUUUUCUUUAAUAAUAUUUGUUUAUUAUUGUACCUUUUCCCCAUUUUCCCAUGUUUUUUCCAAAAAAUGCUAUCAUUGUAAAUCGUAGCAAAAUUUCUGAUAGAAAAGUUGUUCUAGUCUAUUGUUAGGUUCAGGAGUGAGGAACAAUAUGUCCUCACGUUCCUGUUUUACAAUUUAUUUUUAUUUUUUUUGUCUGUAGUCUCUGAACAAAAUAUUAUUUUCAAUUAGAAAAUUCCCUCCAAUUAAAAAAACUUUACGGGAAAUAUUUUAUUUUAUUUUGUUUACAAUUUUGAAUCCAGUUACUUUGCGUAGAGGAAAUUUUAUGUUUUAAAAUAAACAGCCCCCCCUCUCGAUUAUUUAAUAUUUAUAGAUUUUAGCACAUAAGUGAUUUUUUUGGAAAACCAAUAGUAAUCAACAAAGGCUGAUACAAUCACCUGCUGUGCUCAGAAUCUAGAAAAAAAUAAUACUAAAAUAUCAUUAACAAUUUUUUGUUUUUAAAGUUUUUAAUUAAUUCCCUUAAAAUAUCAAAUAAAAUCUUUUUCUACAACAUUUUUUGUGUGUUGUAGGUUUUACAGAAUAAAAAGACUUUACAAUCACUUUAAAAUUUAUAACUGUUUCAUUAAAUAGGUAAGUACUAUUAAUGAAAGGACAAAAACCCGUUGUUAACGGUGUCAUCGCCAUAGAUAUUAUUAAUGUUACUGCAUGGUGAUAAUCAGAAUGUUCCCAACGGUACACGAAAAUGCGUAAUUUAGGCACUCUCUUUCAACCCUUACUGAAUUUUCUUCAAAAAGAGACUGUGUCCAACGAAAUCAGUAUGUCCCUAGUGGCCUAGUCCUUAAAUACUAACUUUUAGAAAAAUCCCAUAGCUAUGUUCGAAAUUAAAAGUUCAAACGUGAUAUACAGGGUGUUCUAUUUAAGUAAGUAGGCACUCAUUAUCUCGGAAAGUAUUAACUCUGUAUGGCAUUUGUAUUUUAGAACAUUUAAUAAAAAAGCAGUUCUAAAAUUUUACGUUUAUAAAAUUUUUUGUCACCCUUAUUUUUGGAGGUAAAACCACUACCUACUUUUGAAUUUCAAAUGAAAAGCUAUAUUAAAAAUUCCAUACAUAUAUAGAGUAUAAGUUAAAAUAAAUUUUGAUGUUGAAAUUUUUGAUUUCGGUUAAUCCGUUGACGAGAUAUUUCACUUUUAAUUUUGGGUCGGUAAAAAGUAGUGAAACAUUAUUAAAACACUGCACUCCGUUCCACCACAUAAACUCUAUCUGUUUAUGACACUUUUAAUAUAGGUUGCUAUUUGAAAAUCAAAAGUAGGCAAUGGUUUUACGCCCCAAAAAUAAGGGUGACAAAAAAUAAUAUGAAUGUAAAAUUGUAGAGCUGUUUUAUAAAAAAAAAAUUCGGAAAGAGUUAAUACUUUUCAAGAUGUAGAAGUGUACCCACUUAAAUGGAACAACCUGUAAAUAUAUUAUAUAUAGCGUUUGCUCGUAUUAUAAUUAUCAUAAUUUUUCAUCCAUAUGAACUCGGCUAUAAAUAAAGUAGUUAAGUGUUAAAAUCUGAUAUCAAAAAAAUAACUAUAACUCAGAUACUUCCAUGAUGACAUAAUAUGUUCUCAGUCCUCUCCUCCCCAUCUUUGUUUUUGCUAAUACUUUAAAACUGCUGUCGUAAAAAUUCUGAUAAUGGUUAUAAAAAUCCGUACAAAAUAUUUGCACAAACAUUUUGGUAAAAUUUGUUGGCGAUGGGAAUGGGGGACUGGGGACAUGUAAUUAUAAGGUGUUUUAUCACGACCGAUUCGUCACGUUCGGAAUGCGACUGAACUGUAUUACAUACAGUAAGUAUAGCAGUAGUGUGCUCUCUUCUCAAGUCGAUAAUCGUGUUUUCGAAAAAUGACAUUAUAAUAUAUAGUGGUGUGCACACACCGAACCGAUUAUUGUGAUCAUAUUAUGCGCGAUGGUCGUUGAACGUGAACUGAAGGCCUCUCUGGAGUCGGGUACGCGUAUAUUAUUAUAAAACAUUUUUAUUAUCCGGCGGAACCGAUCUGCCACAAGUCCGAGAGCAAAAUGUACUCGCUAUUUGUGCCGAACGAGUUUUUCGUAUAAAAUAUGGUACGAUAUUGAAAAAAAAAAAAAAAUAGUAAUAAUAAUUGUCGAAAGGAAGGUUAAUAGCGGCCUGUCGCCAGUCCGUGUGGUACUAAUAUAACGUACAUAAUAAAAUAAAAUAUAAUAUUGUCUCCAAGCGCCUUUAAAUGGACGCGAUUGACCUUGACCCGUAUUCAUAUGUUAAUAAAAACAUUUAAAACGUUUUAUGAAAUAAUUCUCCCUCCCCCUUCCUCGAGUAAAUCGGACAAUGAAAAUGUGAAGCCUUCAGUUCAUAAAAAUAAAGAAUUUCUCUCGUCAAAAUAUGGUAAAUAUGGUAGCUCCCGAGGGUUCGGACGAUUUCCUAGCUCUCUGUGAUCUGUCUACCCCUAUCACGACUAUCACGAACUUUACGUUCUCUAUUUCUACUCAAAUCAUUACGUCGUUCUAUAGAAUUAGAUAGCCUGAUUUCCUGUUCUUCUUGGGUUUCAUCGUUAAAACGUAAAGGUUUUCUGAUUGUAUCUCCGGUAAUACCACCUAUAUUCGACCGGCCUCAUCGUGGCAUAAUUGAAUGAUAAAAUAAGGAUAACGAUUAAAAGUAAAAAUCUAAACGAAAUAAUGAAUUAUGGAUAUACAGACGCGGAAAGCAAUUUUGUCAAAAAAUAAUUAAUAACAGUUUUUUUUUUCAAUCCAUGUUACCAAAGUAACCCAUAAAUCAACAAAAAUAAUUAGGUCUUUGGAUUGAAAGUACCUAAAAAAAAAAUUUUAGGAGAUAGUAUUAAAUAAGAAGUAAAUUUCAUUAGUUAUAGACCUUUUUUGAACAACGUGAAACUUAUGGUGAAAACCGCAUCAAAAACCAUUUCGUAGUUUAGGACGAGUUAGCGGAUAUAUACAGAUAUAGACGUGGAAAGCAACUUUAUUUUGUACCAUACCUAUAUGUUUAUAAAAGGAAGCAUUAUUGUUAUUCAUAUUACCUCCAAUUGAACAUUUUUUAGUACACCACUAAAAUGACUGGACGUUUAAGAAAAUUAACUGUAAAAAGUUGAGUUUACUCAAUUAAAAACCUAAACUAUACGCGGUUAAGUUAAUUAGUUACAACUAACGUAAUUGAAAAUUCAAUUUUUUUUUUAAAAACUGUUCAACUUGGCUUUAAUUUUGUAAGAGUAAACUUUGUAAACUAGUUAAAGACCCUCGAGAACUUAGCAGCGCAACAUUCGCAGUCGACAUUCUAAAUACGUUCCAAUAAAUGUGUUACCUAGUAGUCUAAAGUUAUUAAACAAACUAUUACUAAACAAUUUAAUUUUAAAUUAUUUUAAUCCGCGUUACAAUUAGAAAACUAGUGUAAAAUAUAAUAAAAUUCAUCAAAAAAAUAUUAUUAUUAACAAAUUUGUAUGUAUUUUUUAUAUCAAAUAAUAAUAUUGAAAAUAUUUAAGCUACUCUAGCCAGUGCGCCGUAAGAAAUUAAAAUAAAUAUUACCGAUUUUGUCGGUAAAAUAAUUUAUUCAUUUAACGGGAAAUGUAUUUUUAAAUUAUUUUAAAAACCCAAGAAGAAAAUGUUUGCAAGCCUCUACCUCUCGAGAAAUAUUAGUUUUGUAUUUUAUUAUAUUAUAGUUUCGCAGUAAGGUAUUUAAUAUUUUGCUGCCACUCCCUUCCGUCUCUAUUGGUCGAAACAGCAUACCAGUGCAAUGUGCUUUGUACGAAUAUAUACAUAUAUACAUAAAAAGACAGUAGUAUGCGGUAAAACAUGUGAACAAUUUAAAAAUUAGACAGGGUAAGUACUCAGUACCUCCUGUGUCCUCCCAUCCCAAGUGAAUCACUGCCCCUGCAGUGUUUUGAUAAUAAUAUUAUAUUAUAAAGUCGGUAGAGGUAUCAUCGAGUAGUCGUUAUUUUUUUUUUUCUGUUGCGUAUACUGCUAUAAACCUCUGCAAUUUCUACACUCUGCAAAACUUAAUUUGUUUAAUUUUAAUAACAGUAUUACAGCUCCGGGGACCUGUAAAUAAAUUCGCUUUAAACUAAAUUCAAGCUUUUCAUGAGUAAUACACUUCGCAAAAUAACUAACGCUCCGCACUUUGUCUUUAACUAUUGACCUUCAACAAAAACCUUGACAUGAAAACGAUUGAAGAAAAUCUUACUCUAUUUCAUAAAAAUAUUCGUUCAGACUUGAAAACUACCAAAUGUACUCAUACCUUAUUACAUAUUUCUUCAUUUCUUAGAAACUCUUGCCGCAGCUAGUAGUUCUGUGAUUUUUUAAUUUAAAUAUAGCUAAAUAUAUAUAAGCUAAUAACUUAUAAGUAUCAUCAACGGAUGGCUUUUUAAUCAAUAAUCAUUGAUCAUGUAACCUCAAUAAUAUUUUUCUUAUUUACCACAUAAUAUACUUAUACUAUGAAUUAUUCGUAUAGAUUAUAUAUUUUCUCAAUACAAUAAUAAUACGCGAUAGACGUAUUUAUACCGGAAGUUGUCGCGACAAAAGCAAACCGAACAAUCAAAUUACCUGUAAUUUUAUAAUUAUAUUAAUAAUUUUGUAAACAAAAAUUGACCCCUCCUCCACUUUUGACUUGUAGAAAUAACAAUUAUUUUGCAUCGAUAUAGUGAGUGAUAUAAUAAUCGCUAUAGCCGCUAUAGCGCCGCAGCUGAAUACGACGUUUUCAUUGGUUAUGACAACAUAAUCUCGCUCCUCAUAUUUCUGAUAACAUUCAUAUCAUGUACAAUCGAAAUUUGAAUAAUUCGUUCAUACAAUAUUAUUACAACCGGUGGCAUAAUCUUGGAUUAUCGAUUAUGUGAAUUUGUGAGUUAGAAAAGUAAUAUUUGUACGUGAAAAUAAAAUUCCGUUAUCAGCAGUAUUUAAAAAAAAAAAAAAAAAAACAAAAAUGAAGUUAAUUUGUAAAAGGACAACAAAAAGCGAUUGUGGUGUGAUUAGAAUGAUAACUAAUGAGCCCGUCGUAUUUGGCUACGGUUCUGCAGAGUCUAACGAUUCUUUUAUCGAAUACGGUGUGCGGAUAGGCGUCCAAUUACCAGCGUUUUAACAGUAUUUCAUCGCAUAUAACUUUGAGUUAUAAUUUACAGCUCGAGCGUAUAAUAAUAUAUUUUGUAUAAUGUCAAAAGUUAAAACUAUAUAAGUUUUAAUGGAUUUAUUAUACGACGAUGUUAUGUAUGGCAAGUUACCUAUAGUGAUCUUCAACCACUCCUCCCCGCCAGCCCCUUAUUUUAUGAACGAUCUCACGAUAUAUAUACAUUACACAUACACCUUAUAUAUUUUUACCUACGUCAGAACUCAGAACAUUCGUAUAUUUAUCAUGCAAUUAUGGAAAUCAUUUUAGCUGCGUAAUUUAUGAGGUGAGGGAAACCACAAUAAAAUCAAAAACAACGGUGAAAAAAUACGAGUAGUAUAACAUGUUGUAAAAUUGAAUGUGUCCAUGCAUUUUUGAUUUUUCAAAAAGAAAAUUCCAAGGUAAAUAUGAGUAAAUAUGUUACUCUGCAUAGAAUACUUGGUGAGCAUUGUGUAUUAUUAUUUAAAUGUUUGUAUAAACUCUAUACGUAUUUUCAGUAAUUAAAAAUCUAUAAUUUUAAAGGGGUUUUCCAAUUUUGUAUAAUUUCUUGAUUAUUUUUCAUAUUUUAAUUACCAUCUCAAUGAUAAGACUUUCAACAUUAAUCUACUGCCCGACAUCCAUUUAAGGGAAAAAACCGGAUUUACGGACAACGUUUAAAACGUUUAUUACGUUUAAAACUAAUAUGUGGUGAAAACUAAACAUAUUAAUUGCCAAUGUUUGGACGUGCUGACCAAUUAUUAUAAUUUAUUAGUAAUUUAAAAAGUCGAUUUUUUUCACCUAAUUAAAAUCAAUAUAAAUUAAUAAUAAUAUUAAUUUUAAAUAAAUAUGAAUGCAAUGUGAUUAUUUCACGAAAGUUUCACGAAAUAAUAUUUUAACUGUUGAGCUCUUCGAAGCUGAAAAUUUAAAAUCGACUACCUAAAUAACCUAGAAAAUGUAUCGAUACAUUUAUGCGUAGGUACUUUAAAAAUUAAAACCAAAAAUUGGAAAGUAUAUGGCUUAUUUUCCACCGCCUAUAUUAACCGAUGCUAUGAAGUUUUUCCCGAAAUAUGGUAUUUUGAGUACAAUGACACUUUUGAAAUAUAAAUGAACAAAAAAAAAAAAAAAAAAGAAGAAGAAAAUUGUAAUUCCCGUCCCAUAAAAUUACGCCACUGAAUACGGUCGGUCCGAACGCCAUAAUGUAUUAUUUGACGACAAAAAGAUAAAUAAAUAUUAACUCAUUGUAGUUUAAAAUAAUAUUGUCGACUUUGCCGCAAAAGACCGCAACGGGCGAUCAAUCUUUCGCGAUGUAUUUCACGUGUAACUAUAAGAGUUCAGAGGUAUACUUUUUGGAUUAUUUUACAUAGACUGCACGUAGGACGAGCUGCAAACCACGCACAACGGAGUGUCAAAGUCUGGCGAAUUACCGCGGGCAAAACACUCGGCCAAAAGAUUAAUGACUCGCGCGCGGGUAUAACAGUAAUAAUAUUUCCGAAAGAUUUCGGCCCUCGAUAUAUUAUACACUGCUCGCAUUGCCAUUAGUGUAAAAAAUAAAGUUCUUGUAUACGCUCUCGAAACGAACAACAGCAACAACACCAACAAAAAAAGAAAACUUUUGUAACAUCGAUAAACUCCGGAUAUUGUGUAAACGCUAUUUGUUUUUUAGAUUCUAAGCGGAGUGAGGAAUGCAUUUUUUUUUCUAUACAUCGUUGCAGUUCACCGAUCGGCGGUUCUAUCGUGAUACAUGUUUCAAAACGUCCAUGCUACAAAAUAUACAUACAUAACAAACAUGUAGAAAACUAAAAAUAAAAUAAAAAUCGACAAUAGUUUUAGACCAUUUAAGGAACGGGCAGCUCUAAAAUGUUUUACGAACGUCUUUUUUUCACCAUUCUUAUUUUAGGGGAUGAAACCACUACUUACGUUUGAUUUUCGUAUAGAAACUUAUAUUUGAAAUGCCGUAAAUCAACGAAGUUUUGGUUUAAAUAAAUUUUGUUAUUCAAAUUUUUAAUUUUCGCCAGUUCGUUGAUUAGAUAUUCCAGAGGAAGAGCAAUGGAAAACUAUUCAAAUACCGGGCGUUACGUCACCAAAAAAAUUAUGCUCUCCGACUACUCUCUUCCUACUCACAAAACAAUAAACGUAUAAGUGGAACAUCUCAUCAACGAGCCGGCGGAAAUUACGAAUGCUAGCAUCGAAAUUUAUUUAAAUUAAAACUUCAUUGAUUUAUGAAAUCUUCUAUAUAUUUUGCUAUUUUAAAAUCAAAACCCAGUAACGGUUUCAGAUACAAAAAUAAGAAUGAAAAAAUGCAAUGGAAAUAUAUCAUUUUAAAGCUAUCUAGUUGUUUUUUUAAAUUUUCUAAAAAAUGAAUUCCGAAAAAGUCAAUGCUUUCUAUUAUAAUGAGUGUCUUACGCCGUGUUAAACGCUCUGUAUGCUUAUAUAAAGUCUCAGAAAUAACUAAAAACGUCCAAAACAAUUUAAUAACGGAAAUAGUCUGAUUUUGAUGAUGGGUAUUCUACAGUUUUAGGAGGGAAGUUGGAAGCAUAUCUUCCAACGAUAUAGUUAUUUAAUUUAUACCUUAUGUAACGAUAAACCACUGUUAAAAAAAAAUCUGAAUGGGGCGAGGAAUGUAUUGGUUUUGCAACGAUGUUUAUUUAUUUUUUUCCGUGGACAACUUUUCUAUCAGAAAUUUUGCUCCGAUUUACAAUGAUAGCACUUUUUCUAAAAGGAAAUCUGAUUGAGAUGAUACUUUAAAAAGAUCAUUUUUUGAUUCAACCGAGGAGUUUUCUCAAUAAAUGAGAAAAACUAGGAAAAACCGUAGGGAAAACAGGGAAAUAGGUACAAAAUUAAAAAAAAUAGAAUUAAAGAAAAUGUUUAAUGCAUAUGUAAUUAUUUUACCAUAAUAUGGCAUAAUAUAUAUUGUUGACAAAGCAACACUACUAACCGAACUCCGCUUAAAAUCGUUCCUUUGUUUGCAAUGGUUAAUCUUUGCUUACAUAUAUACAUUAAAUUUUUCUUUUACUGCCUUCCUAACUAAUUACCUACAGCAGUGGGCCACCUACGUGUGAAGUAAGCUCUUCUUUUUCCCCUUGUUGCCUAUGUUGUACCCAAGAAUUUAUAAAAGUACCAAAAAUGACCUGUUUUUUCGAUUUGUUAAGAAAACUACAAAUAAAAUCAAAAAUUGAUCUCUCCAAUGCACUAACUAUAUUAUAAAUAUAACGAAAAAGGUUUUAUAAAGUUGUUGAUCAGAUCAAGAUUUCCAUUGACAAAAAAAAAAAAACACACCAAAGUAAAAUCGAUACAUUGCUAAAUUCUCUCAAAAUCAUAUGCAAUUUUUAUACGGAAAUGACAAUAAUAAUAUAACACAAAUUAAAAAAAAUAAAGUAUAUUCUUACGAGGAGACGAAAAAAAGGUUAUACAUUAUAUGCGAUUCGUUUGCGAGUACACGUAUUUUUAAUUAAAAACCCGCAUGUCCACAAUAUAUUUUUUUUACGGCUGCUGUUAGCAGUAUUAUCAUAAACAAACGAUCGUUUAAAGUUCGGUAUAAAACUGUACAUCAAACUUAACAAAACAAACACAUAUCAUCACGAUAUAAGUGUUCUAUAGGCAGAAUUACGCGUAAUUACUAUAGGACUAGAUUACAACGUAAAGUGUAUUUUUAUUUUUGUUUCUCUAAAACAAUAUUAUUUCAAGUAUACAUACAUUUGUAUAACAGUUUUAUGUACCAGCUGUGUACUUUAAAAGUAUCAAAACUUGUAUGUUAAGUGAUUUUCCGGUUUUUCUAUUGUGUGUAUAAUUUUUUUAAGGGCAUCACGUACGAUCAAAGGAAAGUUUAUUAGGGCAUAAAUCAUGCAUACAAUAUUUUUGUAUAGAUUUUGAUAAAUAAUCUGUACAUGGGCUAUUUGUUUCUUGUGGAAAUAAUAUCAUAGCAAACGCCUAUAGUAACGUAACGUAGUUAUGCUCAGUCAUAAAAGUGAUAUGACUACGUACUAAAAUUAUUUCACGACAUGACGUAACAUAAUAAUUAGAGUGUAUAGUGAGUCCACACGGAAGUGAACGCGAAAAGGGUUAUUACGGAGAAGAGAAGAAAAUGCAGAAGAAACUAGAAAACCACGCAGCGUUCAGCAGUAAAUAAUAACUAAUUUUAUUACUCGAUACUGAUACGUCCGGAGACUUUUAUGUGCCCCGCGUGUACUUAAACUAUAUAAAAUUCCGAAAAUUACUUACCUACUGUUUUUACCCACAGUCGUUUCUGGUAGUCGUUCGUUCUAUUCACUUGGAUAUUUUCGACCGGCUAUUUUUCUAAAAGAAAAAAUUUAAAACGAAAACCGUCAGCUUAGAGGUUUAUGAUUUACCAAACUACAGUAAUAUUAAAUCGACCGUUGGGUUACGUUACCAUUAAUAAUGGAGAAUAUUUGAGUUUACCGAAUAAUCAAAUAUGUUCUUUAUUAUUUAAAAAAAUUAGUUGUAUCAAUAUUUACAAUUGAAAACAUACGAGUAUACAUAAUAUUAAUAUAAUGUAAAACCAAAAAAGAAUACCUACCUAGUGAACAUUUUACUCUAAAGGAUGACAAAAAAUGACUGUAAUGCAAGAUUACAAAUCGUUUGAAUUGUUAAAUUUCCUAUAAAAAAAAAAAAAAAAAAAAACAAAUUCCGAACAAACUUAAUGGUUUCUGAGAAAUCGAGUGUUUCGCAUUGUAUGUAUUGAUCUCCCUGUGUAGAUCAUUUGUCGCGUCGUCGUCGUUAUUCCAUACUUUCGCCUCUCAGACCGUAUUGUAUUUUAUCGGGUUGACUUCGCGGAAACCACAUAAAACGGGUGUCGGGUAUACUUAGUAUAAAGAGCCAAAAUGGAAAGGCUAGUACCUAUACAUACCUACGACAUUUAUAGAAAACCCCACUAGUUAGUAGCUGUGUACCCUAUGUAUAUAAUAUAGGUAACUUCUAAAGGUUUCCAGAAGAUUAACCGCGAACAAGACGGAACAUAACAUACAAUAAUAAUAAUAAUAUAAUCGUCGGACUAUAAUAUUAUGCGGGCGGAAAACGGAUUCAAAAUUUCGUUUGAAAAGUUCCGAAAUAAAACCCGACGUUUAUGCAGGCAUCAGACGACGGGAUCUCUGAGCUACUGACGGAUCCAACACGGUUCCGGGACCGGACAUGUGUGAAAAUCUGUUAUUCCUGUUAUAAACGAUAAUAAUCAUACAAUGUUAUAUUCUACCUACCUAACAUUUCGAGUGUUGUCCUGCAAAAUAUUUUCCACGCGUCUUUAAUAAAUACCCGAGCAAUGAAAUCCAUCAUCGCAAUAAUAAUGAAUGUCGGCCGUCAAAGCAUUUUAAGCUUAAAUAUUAUUAUAGUGACACUUGGAAGUUGAAAAUAAGGUUGUUCGGUAAAUAGACACGAGAUGUCUAUGAAAUAUAUCCAUGCCUACCCUUCUUGAAAAUCGGUGAUAAUUUUAAUAAUCUAACAUAUAAUAUUCAUUUAAUAAUUUUGAUACAAAUUAACCUAACUUGACGUAUUUUUUUUUCGAUGUUAAAACUUCAGCUGUUUAUGACGAUAACUGUUUGGAAAUAAAAACUUUAAUUUUUAAAUGAACUAUAUAAUAUUCUAAUUUUUAUAAUUAUAUAAUUAUAUAGAGACAUAUUUGUGUUUUACGGUCAAAACAAUAGUUUCCAAAAACCUGUUUCAUCAAAACUGCUUUUCACUAGUUAAAACUAGAAUUAACCAGGACCUUUAAAAUUUGUAUUGGUUUAACUUAUUUUUAGAUUCAGAGCGGAGCGAAGGAUUUAUUGGUGUUAUAAACAAAUUUACAGUGCUCGAUUUCAUUAUUUUAAAUUUUUACGCACAUCUACCACAAAUAUUUUCCCAAUAAAAUAACAACAAUAGAUCUUCAUUGUUGAAUUUUUAAUCUAGUUGGUGAGAAAGAAAGUUAUUUUUUGAUUUUCCGCGUAUUCUUGUUUAAUAAUUGAACAAAAUCGAAAAAAAAAACAAAGAACGCACGAACAAAUUUACAAAAAUUAGGUUUUUAUUAUUUUCAAUUUUGUUUUUUUGUUGUAAUUUAAUUUAAAAUAUUUAUAGAGAUUUGAAAUGUUGACAGAAAACUUAUAUUUGUCUUUUCUAGAUGUGUUAAAGUUUAAAAAAUAUUUGAGUCGUUUUUGAGUAAUUUAUAGACAUUCAAAUAUUGUCUGCUCUUUAUCUAAUUUUUAUUUGGUAGAUACUCUGUGGAUAAAAUUGUUUAACCAAAUAGAAAUGCUUGCAAAUUUAACAGGAGGUUCAUUAUAACCCAUCAAUGCCCAGCUUUGUCGUCUACCUAACCUAACCUAUUUAAUCCUAACCUAUGACUUUAUCAUCUAUACGUUCGUUCUGACCUAUCUAUAUGAAAUAAAAACUAUUCGUUUUGAUAUAAAAUAUUUUAUUACAUUUUUAUAUAAAAUACUAAACGAAGAUAUCUUGUCUGUGUAAAUACAAUAAUAUACGUCAUGUAUAGAAUCGAGACUUGAAUUAUUUCGUAGCUCGUAAAGCACAACGCAACAAAUAAUAAUUACAAUAUGUCAAUAUACAUUGUUUUUUAGUAUUAUUUAUAAAAGUACGAGCCACUAUUCUUUCUUGUAUAGGUACCUACCUGCCGAUUUAUGUAGAACAUAUUAAACACGAUUCGUGCUUAUAUGACAAGAUGCAAAUAUUAACGACUAACUUUUGAAUAAAUUAUACGAACGAUGUUUACCCGCUGGUUUUAGUUCAUUAUGUAUCUACGUAACUAGAUUAUGAAUUUUGAAACAAUAAAAACUAUGCACAAAACAUUGAAAAUCAUUUUAAGUUUAUACUUAGAACCUAUUUUAAAGAAAGAACCUUAUAAGAUCGUUUAUUUUACCACUGAAGAAUAUUAUAUAGCUGACAAUUAUUCUAUAUACCAUUAAGAAUUCAAAAAAUGCUAAUCAUAUUUAGUCAAUACAAAAAAAAAAAGUCGAUAUUUACAGGAGACGUUGUUUAUAUUUAAAUAGUAAAUACAAGUUGAACUAGACAAUGUUAAAGAAAUGACGGGUUGAUUCAUUGGAUAACUUUUAAUUAAGUUAAGGUUUCGGUUUUAAUAUUCCCGUUUUCUGACGUUUCCCUCCGUAGAUUAAGAAAACUACAAGAAAAAUCAAAAAUGACGUCCCCCAUGCAUCGACUUAGUAAACUUCGCUAUACCCGCAGAAAUUUCACCCGUUGUUAACGACUGGAGCGAAAUUUCUGUAGGUUAAAAAGUUUUUUAUUGUAAAAAAAAACACAUAUAAAAUCAAUAUAUAUAUUCUAUUCUAAACGAUACAAUGUAAAGGGUGAUUCAUAAUAUAGAACGUUGGAUUUUAAAUGUUCUUCAUUUUUUAUUCAGCAUCACUGUUUUUGUGAUUUUCGGCUUUCAUUGGGGUUUUGUGAUAAGCGUUUUUGGUGUUAGAGUUAGUUAGCGUUGUAAUCACCACGGAUAAAUAAGUACACAAAACAGAUUAAUCUCGUCGCGAGGAGACCGAAACUACCCACCGCAAUCCUACAAUGAUUUAAUACCUUUCGAUUUAUUCCUAUGGGGAUCGCUAAGACACACAGGUUUAUCAAAACAAACCCUGAAAUUUAGCGGGACUAAAACGAAAUAUUCAACUUGUCACGGACAUAAAAGAAAUGAAAAUAUGUGAACGAAUUGUGGUGAAUUUUACGGACCGAGGGUGGGAGUCGUAAUAGCGUUGUAUUUUUUUUCCACGAUUAAACCGUCACAAGAUCUCCCGAAAAUUGUUUUUCGCAUUAAAAGAACAAAUUCAAUUUAUAACGAUUUUAAAUCUGACGUGUUGAAUCACUCUAUAUAAAUCAAAUUUAUAUAAAUAUUUUGAAAAGCUUCGUUUUUUUACUGUACGUAUAUUAUUUAUAGCGGGAGAGGGUAGUGAGGGGGGAAGCAAAUUCCUCCGAAAUCCGCGUAGACCCUCUCUCUGAUAAUUAUCACGCACGUCAAUAUCGUGCACGCCGAUAUCCACAGCCGAUUGAAAGCGACGUUGUAAAUAAUAAAAUAAUAUAAAUUCAAAUAUCGAUUAUUAUGCGAAAAUGUAUUACGCUUCGUGUAGGUACCUAUAUAAUUUAACAAUGAAUAAUAUUAUUAUUUUGCGCUCUGCCCGCUCCUCUUUGUUUCAACGAAAGUGCGUUCGGCAAACAGUUUAUAAUUUUCGGGAUUUGACAGAUUUAUACGGACGCGCGUAAUCGCGUAAAAACGUGUAGUCCGUCAAUAUUGUUAUACGUUUAUGUCAAUAUUAUUACUACGGGAAACCGAUAAGCGCAUUAAUGUGUUAUUAUUAUUACGAAUAAAGAAAAAAUUGAUCACCUAGGUACCUAUAUACGGGUUGCGAUAAUCUCGAUUGACGCGCUCGACAGUCGUUAAAACUUUCGCGUUUCUGCACUCAACACGGCUAUAACGAAAUAAUACAAUAUACUCGUAAUCGUUAUGCAUAUUAUUAUUUUUUUUUAUUAACGAGACACUUUCCGUGUGUUUUGAACGAAAAAAUCCGUUUGAAAUACUACACACAUGAUAUUGAGAAAGGAAAUAUUAUAAUAAUAUUUGACUACACAGUUUAAGAGUGCAUCAACUCAAAAAAGGACCUUUUUCAGGAAAACAAUUUUGAAAAUUCGACGAAUAUUUAGUCAACUACAUAAAACAUGAAAUAAAUUAGGUAUAACGAACACGAUUUUUGGUAUACAAGUAUUAUGUUUAUGUUUCCACUGUUAUUUAUAAUAUGUAAAUACAUGAAUUCAUUUCAAAAAGUUUACUUGAUCUACUUUAGAAGUUUAGAACUGGAUAUUAUGUUAAACCAAAAUAUGUUAUUCUACAACGAAAUAAGAUUAGAUUAGGUUAGGUAAGAGCUCUCUAAGGCUCAAUGAUUUAAUGCUUGGAUUUAACUCAUUUUUGAUUUUUUUUUUUUUUUGUGAUUUAUUGCAGUCUUAAAGCGGAUAGUCGAUAUUAUUAUCGCGUUCCUUCGCAGGGUUUGGCGAAAAACAAAACAAGUUUUUUUUUAUAUAUAUUUCUCUUAAAUUUUUUAAUUUAAAUGCAUAUUGAUGCAAACACUUUUUUAAAAAUUUUGUAGGGUCCAAACUCCAUCCACCCAUUUUCUCUUAUCUUCGCUCAUUUAUUAGGUAAAAACGUAUUUAGUUCCCCUCAAUUCAAAAUCCUGACUUCGUCACUGAUUCAAAUUAAAAAGCUAGAGCAAUUUUGUUUAGUAGAUACGUAUAUUUUUGGACUGCCUGGAUAAAUUGUAAUCUCUAGGUCUAAAUUUGGUCCCACUCCACCCCUGGAUGAGUGAGUUAAUUUUACUCUAACUUAGUUAGCUUAGCGGUCUAAAAUGACGUAAAAAAGUCCUCCUUUUUCCCUUGAAUAGGUAUCAGUCAUUAAUUAUGUGGACAAGUGUUAACAUUAAAAUGGCAAUUAAAAAGUGGACAAUGAUUUUAAAAUUUUACAAAUUUGGAGAAAAUUCGGAGAACCUUUCCCGAUCUAUUUAAGUUUAAUAAUAGAUAAAUUCACUAAAUAUUAAAACUAACAGAACAAAGAUGUUUCGCUGAGCUCAAAUUUUCUACGUCGUACGUUUUGUAAGACGGAGACAGCACAUGAGGACAUCACGAGUAAUAAAUUUAUAAACUAAUUUAUAAACUUUGUAUUUUUAUAUUUUAUUACUUUUAGUAUUUUUCCCUUAUCUGAUAAUGUUUUAUAGUGGAAUUAAAGUUUGUAAGUUUUUUAAAAAGUAUAUUUAUUUAUUUAAAAAAUACUUGUGCUUUUAAACUGAGAUCUAUUAUCUCUAAAUUAUUUAUUGUUUUUCUUUUAUUGAAACAUAUUGUUAUAUUGAGUAGGUAUAUAAUGCUAUUUUUUUUUUUCUGUCUGUUUACAACUUUUAUACUAGAAAUAUUGUUCUGAUUUUCAAUUGUAGAAUCUUUUAUGAAAGCAAAUUUCGUCUAGUUAAUGCGUUGGUAAAGUCAUUUUUUUAUUUUCCUUACAUUUUCUUAAUGAUUUUUGUAUUAUUUUUUUUGUGGGUUCCAUUAAUAAGUUUGACCUCGGGGCCUUUAAAUACUCUUCAAUCCGGGUUUGAUACGGAGUGUUUAACGGAACAUUGUAACAACGGCUCAUAAUUAUUUAUCUCUGUAGGUAACAGAUCAGAUAACUUAUUUCUCAUUUUCCUGAGGUUUAUCUAACACGAAUGAUAAACAUUUACCUAUAUUAGGAUACAUAUAUCUGUAGAUCAAUCACAAACGCUGCUAAUAACCAUGAAAAUAAAAAAUAGCCAACAAAUUACUAGGCAUAAUCUGCAAUCUCCCGAGCCAGGCACUCAAGAAAUUCGCCAGAGUAAACCGGUUUGUGAUACUGGUUGGAUUAUUUGGUUUAAAAUCGUCAUGGUUUAACCGUUUAAACCGAUUUAGUUAGAAAUUGAUGAAUAAAUCAAUUUGCCCUCUUCUUCAACUUAUUAUUGAUUGCGUAUAGUAAAAUGUAAAUUGAUAUCUAAAAGUGUAGUAAGAAAUUAACAAAUUAAAUAACGGGGAAAUAUCAGAUUAAUAAUGGGGAUAAUAAACCGAGAUCGGUAACUGUUGAUCGCCAUAUUUACCGAAACGAACCAGUUACUCAUAUUCUUACAUCGGUUUACUCCAACAAAUUACUUAAAAUACACCGUUUUCGUUUUUAAGGGGAAAUCGGUACCGGUUUACUUUGGCGAAUUUCUCGUCUGUGAAUAAUGCAAUAAUAACUGCUCGCUCGCGGUGAUCGUAAAUAAUAAUAUUUCCAUUCUUUUGUCGAUUAUUAUUCGAAAACGGGGGCGGUAGGAAGAAUUCAAAUUCACGUAUUGUUAUUGUUAUUAUUAUUAUCGUAUUAUCGCGAUCCGCUGCCUCAUCCGGUAAACCGUUGUUAAUAUAUUAUUAUAUUCUAAUCGACGUCGAUGGCGCUAAAUUUCGAUCGCAUAAAUUAAAUUUUAAUCGUAAUAAUUUCCGACGGUUCGCAACAUACGGAUACGCGUGUACAUAAUAAUAAUAAUAAUAUUAGUAUUAUUACAAUAACCGUAUUGUUACUUAACCACUUUGCCGUUUUGAAUGUAGCGCGAGAUUUUUUUUUUCUAUUGCGAUCGCUAUUCGUCUCCCGCCAGUGUUGUACGUAUCGUGACCGAAAAUAACGGCGAAUAAUAAGUAAUAAUAAUAAUACAUUAUAUUGUAUUGUUUCGUAAAACAUUAGGUGUUGAUAUGGUGAAAAAAAAACGAAUGCGAUUCCGAGCGCAGAAUUGAUAAAUUUUAGAUUUUGAACGUAGACCGGGAAUGCAUUGAUUUUACCACAGUAGCUGUUUUCGUUUUUAUCUAUCUUUAUAUGUAAACAAUUUUUCUACCAAAAUUCUUGUUCCGAUUGGAAAAUGACCAGAGACGAUUUUUGUUGAAUUUUGUACAUAGUUGGUGCUUAGAGGAGAUCGUUUUAUGAUUUUCUGAGCGGUUUU